AUAUAUUGCGCAACUAAUAAUCAAAAUACAAAAGAUGCGAGACUAAAUAAUAGAUUUCCUCCAAAAUCUAAAAAUUUUAAUUUUAAU
rnacentral:tRNA from 1 species